AUAAGCCCACCUUGAUGGGUUAUCUACCACCAGAACGGUUGAAGAAGCUCAGCCAGUAGUAUAUGUAGCCCUCCCAGAUCUGGCCCCGCUGCUUCCGCCUUCCUCCGUCCCCAAUUCGGGAAAACCGGGACGAUAUGGAGAGUCUGCGUAACGGGGUUUGGUUCCUACAUCCCUCUCCGAUCCCCUUUCGUGCUCUCUCUCUUCGUGUCGAGUUCUUGCUGCGUCUGCUUGGCCCCCUUUUCAGCGGUGAUCGACGGUGGGAUGGGGCGGGGCGCUGGACAUGGUGGUGUGCUGUGGCUGACAGAAGAGAGUGAGCACGCAGCGGCCAGACUGCAUCUGAAAUUCUGAAUACGCGGGGGUGGAUGGAUGCAGGCCUAGACGCAGCUGCUGUUGCGUGCUCACUUCUCUCUCUGUCAGCUCUCUCUCCUCCUCGGGACUUGUUCCGCCUUGUCCAUCUCCCCCCUCCCACUUCCAUCCAUUGCUGCUCACCGCUGCGUCGUCGUGCAGACGUUGUCGCAUCGGUCGCCGUGGCCGUCGUGGCACUGUUCGUCUUGAGGCGCCUGCCGGCCUUGCCGUGUCCCCACCUGCAAUAAUCCUGCUCGGAUUCCUACGGCGCCGGCCUGCCUGCUCUUUGGAACAAGCAGGGGCGGCCUUCAGCCUUGGGGGAGGAGGACGCGUGAUGGUUUGAUUAACACCUGGCUUUGCUCGCCUCCCCAGGUGUGCUUAACGGAAACCACUGUUUGACUAGUCCUUGCUACCCCUUCUCCCUCCUCUCUCUCUCUCACUUAUCUACUCUUUCCUCUUCCUUUCCGUAAAGAUUUUACAGCAAAAACUGGAUCUUUUGACUCUGUUCUUUUGCUCAUCUCAUGUGGCGCUGUGAGUGUUGGGAAGUAGGUGCCUAGGUAGGAGGCAGCCAUGAAGACGGUGGUCGGAGGCAGAUCUGCGAGGUGCAAGUGGAAAGGGAGGCGGCCGGGCACCUACCACCGCCGCCGGCGGCCGCGGCGACUACCAGAUCUGGAAAUAAUGUUUCUUCCCCGGCCGGUGCCUUCUUGAAGAUUGCGGAUGAAGCAUUUCCUAUAGUCUGGUCAACAACUGGUGUACACCAAUAUAUACACUGAUUAUGAACUACGUUCUUUUGAAGGGUUAAGUGGUGGGGUUAAGUGGAAGGGUCUGUAUGCCUGGAAUCCAGCUGCCUGUGGCGAAAUGCACUUGCUCAAACAGUCAUGUUCCAGGCGCAAGAUGCCAAGACAUAUACGGAGAAACCUUGACAUUUGGAAGAUCCUGUCGCUACACUACAAAUAAAUGUGUUUUUAUUUUUGCUCGCAAGAGACAGAAUCAUAUUUCAUAUGCAGCGUCAUAAUCUUGCAUAUAUAGGAAGCCAUGCAUGAAGAUCAGGAGCUUUCAAUGCAACUCACCUAUUCUUCUAUUAGCAAUGAUGCGAACUGGAAGCUUUUUUCUUUUCUUUUCCUUUUCGUUUCAUUGCUGGCACUGCACCGAGAGAACUUAAAUCAUAUGUUUUUUGUGGCUUGCAAUAUCCUGGAACUGCAAGUCUGCAACCCUGCAAUUUUGUGUUGAAGGAUCAAUGUGCUACAUCAAGGAAUAAAGUUUCAAGUUCAAUUCUUA